AAGCUGUGAAUAGACUGUGAAUGAGCCCUGUGACUGUGAUCAGGCUCCUCCUCCUCAUCCAUCAGCUUAGUGUUGAUGGAGACCAUACAGAGAGAUCACAGUGUUCUUCAUACUUGCUGUAGCUCACAGUUACUCAACACUGCAGAUAUGAUGCUGUCUCUGUUCACCUCAGUGCUGCUGGCUGCUGUGUGUCUUGAAUGCAGAGCACAAAAAGACAACGUGAUGCAACCGAAAGGAGAUGUGAGUCUUGCUGAAGGAGAGGCAGCAACACUGGACUGUCUCUAUAACAGCACUUCAUCAAAUCCAUACCUCUACUGGUACAAACAGGAUGGAAACAACAGCCCCAAAUUCCUCCUGAGCCGCGUUAAGCUGGAUGAAGGGAACACAGCAGACGACUUCAAGGAGAGAUUUUUAUGCACACUGAAUUCAACAUUCAGAUCAGCUCCUCUGAAGAUCCAGAAGCUUCAGCUGUCUGACUCUGCUGUGUACUACUGUGCUGUGAGGCCCACAGUGACAGGAAACAGCAAAACUCUGUACAAAAACCUUUGGAGCAAAGACAAGAGAAAACUCCACAUCAUCUUCUAG